rnacentral:rRNA from 1 species
GCAAGUCGAGGGGCAGCAUUGAUUGCUUGCAUCAGAUGGCGACCGGCGCACGGGUGCGUAACGCGUAUGAACUUACCUACUACAGGGGGAUAGCUUCUGGAAACGGAAAUUAAUACCCCAUGGUCUCUAUUAUUCACAUGGAUAUAAGGGUAAAGAUUUAUUGGUAGUAGAUGGGCAUGCGUCCCAUUAGCUAGUUGGCGGUGUAACGGACCACCAAGGCGAUGAUGGGUAGGGGUUCUGAGAGGAUGAUCCCCCACACUGGUACUGAGAUACGGACCAGACUCCUACGGGAGGCAGCAGUAGGGAAUAUUGGUCAAUGGGCGAAAGCCUGAACCAGCCAUGCCGCGUGCAGGAAGACGGCCUUCUGGGUUGUAAAACUGCUUUUAUACGGGAAGAAAACGCCCAUGCGUGGGCAUCUGACGGUACCGUAUGAAUAAGCACCGGCUAACUCCGUGCCAGCAGCCGCGGUAAUACGGAGGGUGCAAGCGUUGUCCGGAUCUACUGGGUUUAAAGGGUACGUAGGCGGCCCAUUAAGUCAGUGGUGAAAUGUACCAGCUCAACUGGUGAAGUGCCCAUUGAUACUUGAUGAGCUUGAGUAUUGUAAAGGUAGGCGGAAUUGAUGGUGUAGCGGUGAAAUGCAUAGAUACCAUCAAGAACACCGAUUGCGAA